UCGGUUUCCUCGCAGGAAAUGGUUUCGUAUACUUACCAUAUUCGCAGAUGUCCCUUGUGCUUGCAACUAGUAAUCGACGAAUACGAAAAGCUUUUGAAAUAACGCAUCUCACGCUCUGCCACCAUAUUCCAAAAGGGUGAAGAAAACAAAGGCGAAGGAAGCGGUUCGACGCUACUUGUAAACGGUCGAUGGUCACUCGAAGCAGCUUCUCUAUUUUCCAUACCA